rnacentral:tRNA from 4 species
GCGGGUGUAGUUCAAUGGUAGAACAUCAGCUUCCCAAGCUGAUAGCGUGGGUUCGAUUCCCAUCACCCGCUCCA